UACGUAGGGUGCAAGCGUUGUCCGGAAUUAUUGGGCGUAAAGAGCUCGUAGGCGGUUUGUCGCGUCUGCCGUGAAAACUCGGGGCUUAACCCCGGGCCUGCAGUGGGUACGGGCAGACUAGAGUGCGGUAGGGGAGACUGGAAUUCCUGGUGUAGCGGUGAAAUGCGCAGAUAUCAGGAGGAACACCGGUGGCGAAGGCGGGUCUCUGGACAGUUCCUGACACUGAGGCACGAAGGCCAGGGGAGCAAACGGG
rnacentral:rRNA from 1 species